GCGGUCGCAGUCAGCUUGCCCGGAGGGAGAGGGCGGAGCUGACCUUACCGCGUCGGGUGCUUGACACGAACUCCGGGUCAAACGAGAUCAGAUGACCUCGUCACCUACGUCCUCGCUGAGUGAAAGCUGCUGAAACCGCACAUCUCCUGCUGGCGAGUCUUGGACUUCUCGGCGCCUGCCUCAGCCUGGGAAUCGUGAGCGUGUACAUCCUGGCCAUGUGGUCUAAAGAGAAGAUGUUUUAAGUACGUGACCGGCGUAGGCUGCGUGGAGGAGCGAGCAAUGUGCACACCAUGAUCAAAGACUGUCCACUGAGAGUCGCAGUAAAUAUGUACUAAGUAUCCACUGAAACCCUCUGUUUCGGAUACUGUUUGGCUACUGACACUGGCACAUUAUUAUGUACUGUUUUUUCUUCAAACUAUAACUAUUGCAUUUUGGUUGUAUAUUUUGUAUGAUAAGGCUUGCACCUUAGAAGUACUGAUUGUACAUUGUGUUUGCUAUUAGAAACUCUCAAUGGAGCUAGUGUGGAUGUUCUGCCUAUUACAUUUUGAAUGCACUGCAUA